rfam:Gossypium hirsutum cultivar TM-1 chromosome 6, whole genome shotgun sequence
UGUUAAAAUUUCAUUCAUUUCUACAAUUAAAAAUUAUCACACCUGAAGAAAUAAUCAGACAGUUACACAUGGCGUGGACAUGUACCUUAUGCUGAUAUACAGAGAUCAGUUUUUAACCGUAAAAAUAGAUGGAAUUGUUAAAA